UUGACUGUGCUGGUGGAUACACAGACCUACACAUGUGACAAAAUGUCAUGGAACUAAACACACACAUACAGAAAGAGGACAGGUAAAAGUGGGGAAAAUCUGAACAAGUGUUCAUAUGGCUAUUUAAUCUGGAGGAUGGUGACAGAGAUGAAUAACUUUAUUAUGUUAAUCAUCGCAUUGGCUACUAUAGAGAAGAGGCAUACAUCCCUUAUGUUGUUUUGAGGACUGGCAAAGGAAGAACAGACUGAGGCCAACGCUGGCAGAAGGAAAGACAUAGUGAAGAUCAGAGCCGAAAUAUAUGAAAUAGAGGAACGAAAAAUGGAAACGAUCAACAAAACAAAGAAUCGGUCCCUCGAAAAAACAAAUAAAAUGGACAAACCUUUAGCUGUACUUACCAAGAACAGGAAGGAGGGAGGACUUGUGUAAAUUGAACUAUAAAUGAAAAAGGAGACAUGACGACUGAUGCCACCAAUGCAAAGGACCCUAAAAGACGACUCUGAACAGUUACAUGCCAAGGCAAUGGACAACCUAGAAGAAAUGGAUACAUUCCUAGAAACACACAGCCUACCAAGGCUGAACCAUGAAGAAACAGAAAAUCUGAAGAGACCAAUAAAAAGGAAGGAGAUUGAGUCAGUCAUCAAAAGCUUCCCAACAAACAAAAGUCCAGGAUCAGAUGGCUUCACAGUAAAUCCUACCCAACAUUUAAAGAAUUCACACCAAUUCUUCUGAAACUCUUCCCAAAAACAUUGAAAAGGAGGGAAUACUUCCAUACUAGUUCACAAGCCUACUAUUACCCUUAGAGAUAAGGAGACUAUUGGGGUGGCGGGGGCGGGUGGUGGAACAACCACAGGCCGACGUCGGUAGGUGCAAAAAUAUUUAACAGAAUACGAGCAAACCAAAUUCAACAGCACAGUUAAAGGAUCUCACACCACGAUCAAGUGGGAUUCAUCCCUGGGUUGUGAGGAUGGUUCAACGUCUGUGUAUCAAUAAAUGUGAUCAACACAUCAAGAGAAUGAAAGACAUAAGAAUAUGGUU